GGACAGGUGUGCACCCCAAUCUCAAAUCAUCCCAGUAAGCAUGGAUAUGGAAGAUCUGCACAACCUGCAGCUUCAGUCCCUGUGCUGGUUUUGGUUAAGAGGAAUUAUGGAGUCAUGGAAAGGAAGACACAAGUGAUAUAAACCAGAAUACACAUAUUGCCAAAAUCACUCCAGCGUUACCUUGAGCAUCUCUGAAAUGCAAAGCAAAAGCAAAACAUUGAGAAUAAGCCUUUUCCAAUAUGUAAAUGGAGCAUCCAGGGCAGUGUGAGGCUGGCAGCAGCGUACUGCACUUUGUGUGUUGGUUGCAGCUCACUCACAUGCUGUGGUGUCAAUAUUUCAGUGCAGAGUGCUUUACAUCACAAUAAGAAAAGAGGAUGCUCUGGUGGAUAGCGUAUGCAUUUCAGUUCCAUCCGUUGAGCCUCAUCCGAGCUGACACUAUUGGAAUAAAGUAGAUUGUCAGAGGCUGGGCAGAGCACUUUUAUCAUUUGCAAGUAUUGGC
rnacentral:lncRNA from 1 species